rnacentral:rRNA from 1 species
UACAGAGGGUGCAAGCGUUAAUCGGAAUUACUGGGCGUAAAGCGUGCGUAGACGGUUAUGUAAGUCGGGUGUGAAAGCCCGGGCUCAACCUGGGAAUGCCAUUCGAGACUGCAUAGCUAGGGUGCGGAAGAGGGAAGCGGAAUUUCCGGUGUAGCGGUGAAAUGCGUAGAUAUCGGAAGGAACAUCAGUGGCGAAAGCGACUUCCUGGACCAGUACCGAGUCAGGCACGAAAGCGUGGGGAGCAAACAGG